rnacentral:rRNA from 1 species
UGGGGAAUAUUGGACAAUGGGCACAAGCCUGAUCCAGCAAUGCCGCGUGUGUGAAGAAGGCCUGCGGGUUGUAAAGCACUUUCAGUAGUGAGGAAGGCGUUAGUGUUAAUAGCACUAACGAUUGACGUUAGCUACAGAAGAAGCACCGGCUAACUCUGUGCCAGCAGCCGCGGUAAUACAGAGGGUGCGAGCGUUAAUCGGUAUUACUGGGCGUAAAGCGCACGUAGGUGGUUAAUUAAGUCGAUUGUGAAAUACCUGGGCUUAACCUGGGAACUGCAGUCGAUACUGACCGACUAGAGUAUGGUAGAGGGAAGUGGAAUUUCCGGUGUAGCGGUGAAAUGCGUAGAUAUCGGAAGGAACACCAGUGGCGAAGGCGACUUCCUGGACUAAUACUGACACUGAGGUGCGAAAGCGUGGGUAGCGAACAGG